UACGUAGGUGACAAGCGUUGUCCGGAUUUACUGGGCGUAAAGAGCGCGUAGGCGGAAGCUUAAGUGUGGCCUGAAAGCCCCCGGCUUAACCGGGGAAGGUGGCUGCAAACUGGGCUUCUUGAGGGGGAUAGAGGAGAGUGGAAUUCCUGGUGUAGCGGUGAAAUGCGUAGAGAUCAGGAGGAACACCCGUGGCGAAGGCGGCUCUCUGGGUCCGCCCUGACGCUGAGGCGCGAAAGCGUGGGGAGCGAACGGG
rnacentral:rRNA from 1 species